rnacentral:lncRNA from 1 species
GAGGGCAGCCGCGAACCGCCGCCACCACUGGGUCUCCGCGGGCGCCUGCGCCGGUGUCUCGCCCUCCGGCCCGGGUCGUCCUGGAAAAACUCGCUCCGCUGGCCGCCGGGGCUCCACGGCGCUGCCCAUGGCCAAGCCCAGGAGCCGACUUCGGGCGCCGGACCGGCUGGACAGCCGAGGCGCGGCUCAGUAAUCAGAAGCCUGCAAUACCCAUGUGUCACUGAUCUGGAGACGACCCCCCGCGGGCAGCACUUCAUGACCCAGCGGCGCCCGGCCCAGUG